rnacentral:rRNA from 1 species
AGAACGAACGCUGGCGGCGUGGAUAAGACAUGCAAGUCGAAUGGGACAUAUUUGGUAGCAAUAUUGAGUAUGUUCAGUGGCGUAAGGGUGCGUAACACGUGGGUAAUUUGCCGUGAAGACUGGGAUAACUUGCUGAAAGGCGAGCUAAUACCGGAUGUGGUCACGAGAAGGCAUCUUCUUGGGACUGAAGUUGGGGACCGCAAGGCCUAACACUUUACGAUAAGCCCGCGGCCUAUCAGCUAGUUGGUGAGGUAACGGCUCACCAAGGCUAAGACGGGUAGCUGGUCUGAGAGGACGACCAGCCACACUGGAACUGAGACACGGUCCAGACACCUAACGGGUGGCAGCAGUCGAGAAUUUUCACAAUGGGGAAACCCUGAUGGAGCGACGCCGCGUGGGAUGAAUGCUUCGGCCCGUAACCCCUGUCAUUUGCGAACAACCUCUUGACCUAACACGUGAAGAGUCUGAUUGUAAGCGUAAAGGAGGAAACGGGACGGACCGUAACUCCGGACUACCCG